rnacentral:rRNA from 1 species
AACGAACGCUGGCGGCAUGCCUAACACAUGCAAGUCGAACGAGACCUUCGGGUCUAGUGGCGCACGGGUGCGUAACGCGUGGGAACCUGCCCUUAGGUUCGGAAUAACUCCCCGAAAGGGGUGCUAAUACCGGAUAAUGUCUUCGGACCAAAGAUUUCUCGCCUUUGGGUGGGCCCGCGUUGGAUUAGCUGGUUGGUAGUGUAAAAGCCUACCAAGGCGACGAUGCAUAGCUGGUCUGAUAGGAUGAUCAGCCACACUGGGACUGAGACACGGCCCAGACUCCUACGGGAGGCAGCAGUGGGGAAUAUUGGACAAUGGGCGAAAGCCUGAUCCAGCAAUGCCGCGUGAGUGAUGAAGGCCUUAGGGUUGUAAAGCUCUUUUACACGGGAUGAGAAUGACAGUACCGGGAGAAUAAGCUCCGGCUAACUCCGUG